rnacentral:rRNA from 1 species
AGAGUUUGAUCCUGGCUCAGAAUGAACGCUGGCGGCGUGCUUAACACAUGCAAGUCGCACGAGAAAGCCGAAAGCUUGCUUUUGGCGAGUAAAGUGGCGCACGGGUGAGUAACGCGUGGGUAAUCUGUCCUUGAAUUCGGGAUAACACACCGAAAGGUAUGCUAAUACCGAAUGACAUCAUUGAGUCUUCGGGCUUUUUGAUUAAAGGUGGCCUCUCCAUGGAAGCUACUGCUUGAGGGUGAGCCCGCGUACCAUUAGCUUGUUGGCAGGGUAACGGCCUACCAAGGCGACGAUGGUUAGCUGGUCUGAGAGGAUGAUCAGCCACACUGGAACUGACACACGGUCCAGACUCCUACGGGAGGCAGCAGUGAGGAAUUUUGCGCAAUGGGGGAAACCCUGACGCAGCAACGCCGCGUGAGUGAUGAAGGCUUUCGGGUCGUAAAGCUCUGUCAAGUGGGAAGAACCUGCAUGCCGUUAAUACCUGCAUGCACUGACGGUACCACUGAAGGAAGCACCGGCUAACUCCGUGCCAGCAGCCGCGGUAAUACGGGGGGUGCUAGCGUUACUCGGAAUUACUGGGCGUAAAGCGCGCGUAGGCGGUCUCUUAAGUCAGGUGUGAAAGCCCGGGGCUCAACUUCGGAAGUGCAUUUGAAACUAAGAGACUUGAGUAUGGGAGAGGGAAGUGGAAUUCCUGGUGUAGCGGUGAAAUGCGUAGAUAUCAGGAGGAACACCGGUGGCGAAG